rnacentral:rRNA from 1 species
AGAGUUUGAUUAUGGCUCAGGACGAACGCUGGCGGCGUGCCUAACACAUGCAAGUUGAGCGGAGAUAUAUGGAGCUUGCUUUAUAUAACUUAGCAGCGAACGGGUGAGUAACACGUAGAUAAUCUAUCCUAUACUGGGGGAUAGCCCGAUGAAAGUUGGAUUAAUACCGCAUAUAGCUAUAUAGUUGCAUGAUUAUGUAGUGAAAGAUUUAUUGGUAUAGGAGGAGUCUGCGGCACAUUAGCUAGUAGGUGAGGUAAAGGCUUACCUAGGCGACGAUGUGUAGCCGGUCUGAGAGGAUGAACGGCCACAAUGGAACUGAGACACGGUCCAUACUCCUACGGGAGGCAGCAGUGGGGAAUAUUGCACAAUGGGGGAAACCCUGAUGCAGCAACGCCGCGUGAGUGAAGAAGGUUUUCGGAUUGUAAAGCUCUGUUAGCAGGGAAGAGGAAGGACGGUACCUGCAGAGGAAGCCACGGCUAACUACGUGCCAGCAGCCGCGGUAAUACGUAGGUGGCAAGCGUUGUUCGGAAUAACUGGGCGUAA